AAUGAACGUUUGCGGCGUGGCUUAGGCAUGCAAGUCGAGCGAGAACCGUAUCAAUACGGGGACAGCGGCGCGAGGGAGAGUAAUACGUCGAUACCUACCAUCGCGUCCGGGAUAGCUGCGGGUAACUGCAGGUAAUACCGGAUGACAUCUCUGGACCAAAGGUGUGAUUCCGCGCGGGGAGGCGUCCGCGUCUUUUUAGCUCGUUGGUUAGGUAACGGCUCACCAAGGCUGUUAUGGGUACGGGGUGUGAGAGCAUGCCCCCGCUCACUGGGACUGAGACACUGCCCAGACACCUACGGGUGGCUGCAGUCGAGAAUCUUCAGCAAUGGGCGCAAGCCUGACCGAGCGACGCCGCGUGCGAGAUGAAGGCCUUCGGGUUGUAAAUCGCUGUCAGAGGGGAGGAAAUGCCGGUGGGUUCUCUCAUCGGUUUGACCUAUCCUCAGAGGAAGGACGGGCUAAGUUCGUGCCAGCAGCCGCCGUAA
rnacentral:rRNA from 1 species